GCAACAAGAGUAAAACUCCAUUUCAAUAAAUAAAUAAAUUAAUUAAUUAAUUAAUUAACAAAAGCAAACUAAAAAGACACUUCUCAGAGCUACUUUGCUUAUGUCGCUAGUUCAUGGUAGAAGGAAAAUGGUGACUGUAGAAAUGGUCAAACUGGGAUCUUUUUCAGGAAAUGAAACACGUAAUGUAGACUUCUGUGGAAAGCAUCCAUAGACUUAUGUGGAAAGCAUCCAUAGACUUCCGUAGAAAGCAUCUGUAGACUUCCGCAGAAAGCAUCCGUAGACUUCCGUAGAAAGCACUGAUGAUGUUGUAUAAACAGACCAUAAGGAGAUUGAAGCCCUCCAUGUAUUCUGUUUGCCCUUGGAAUAUAUGUGCAUGUGCAUGUGCUUGUGUGUUUAUUUUCAUUUGGGUUUAUGCCCUAUUUUUAAUUUGUAAGCAGAACAAGAGGCAAAGGGCUCUCAUAUGCCCGUAGAAUUAUAUAGUCAGGCUUUUCAGGAAUUUUUUUUUUAAUCCUUCAACAUUUAUCUUUGCAUCAAAAAUAAAUUUUUUAAAAAAAGUAAAUAAGGAUAAAAGAAAAACCGAGUAGGUGGGAGAGAAGGAGGAAUUUGGAGUCAUGGGAAUGGGCAGGUGUUCAGGUGAUUUAAAAGGAGAAGUAAAGGCAUGUUCCUGGAUAAAUGUCGAUAUGCAUUAUUAAAUGAAACAGUGGUAAAAUAUAGACUGUCAGAAGCAUUUUUCUUCCAGAGACAUGAGGAGAAUUGAAAUGCAGUUUCAAAGGAGGAGUCUCUUUCGGUGUUUCUUCAAUCAUUUUUUUGUUUGAAGCUUUAAUUACAGUGCUCCUUGCUACCUAAUGCUUUCAGUUUAAAAUGACAUCACAAAAGAGAGGGGAAGAUGUAAUUGCUCAGAUGAAGGGCAGCCAUCACAGCAGCAUUGAGGUAUUUACUCACCAGGGAGUUCCUGCUACAUGAUUCUUUUCUAGAUCAACAUUUUGUUUUUGGAAUGCUUUUGUAUCAUGCAUAUUUGACAUGGUUUGUCUUUAGAGUGAUUGCUCUGAUACUGCUAUUGCCAGAGCAGAUAAUAACCUUCGGGAAAUAAUGUAUUCUGAAAUAAAGGAACUAGUUAUUUGCAUAGUUUUCUCUGGAUUGGAUAAUGUGUACAGGUGGCUAGUGGCUUCCUAAACGUUUAGUGUUCUAAUCAAAUAAACUUGUAUUUAAAUACAUUAACACAGACCAAUACACGCACAUAGAAGCACAUGUGUACACAUAGAUAGGUGCACAUGCAUGUGUACACAUACAUCACUGUCAUAGCUCUUCAUGCAGAAUACUUUGCUAUUCAGCCCCAUCAACACAUACUUUUUGAAAAUAUGCUCAGCAGAGGGGUACAAGCAUACAGAGGACUCAGACCCCAGUCUCAACUUCUUCACAGUCUGAUGGGGACAGACUUGGGAGCAGAGAUGCUAUGAUGGGGGAGGCUGUGUACAUUGCAGCCUGAAAACAGAGUAGAAGAGGGGCCCUUUCUCCUUCGGGCCCCUGGGAAGACUCCAGGAGGUGAUGGAUGAACUUUGAGCUGGUCAUUGGUGAAAGAACAUGGAUUAGCUGAGCAGAAAAGAAGAAGGAAUACUGGAUGCAGUAAGUAACCACUUUGGGACUAAAUUUACACCAAAAUGAGUAUUAGUUCCUUUGGUUCCAAAUGGUUCAGAUGUUCUUUAAAGGCACUGUUCUUACUGCCCAGAGGAAAGAGAGUGAGCUGAACCAUACAUGCUUGUAGUAAAGAUUGUAUGUAUGUCAUAUAUGUAUAUCUAUAUAUAAUAUAUCUACCCAUGAUUAUACGUUGUCUAUAAAGCCCCUUCACACUUUUUUUUAACCUCAUAGCAGCUCAGCAGGUCAGUUUAAUAUGAUCAUUAUUUUUCAGCUAAGGAAAGGGAGGCUCACAGAGAUACAUGGCCCAGUUUCCCUCCAAUGAUGUUCUGGGACUCACUGCUCUUACUCAGGUCUGUGCUGCCCAUUACCUCCGUGAGGUUAGAUCACAGGUUACAAGUUAGAUCUCUGAUAUCCGGAUCUCCUGAUGGCAUUAGCAGCGUUUAGUCAGUGACUUUCCUGGGCCUGCCUGGAUCACUCUCACUUCAUGUGGAUGAUCUCUCUCAGGAAGCCAUAGAUUUUGAGCAAAAAUGCAGACUUCCCAGAGGCUUUGCCGGGUCCUCCAUCUCACUCCCCUCAAGAAUUUCAACAAAUCUGUUAAUGCUAUUUUGUCAUUUCUGUACUUCAAAGUGUUUCUGCCAGGCAUACCUUGUCUGUCCCAGCUCUGACUCUUUGGGGCUGAGUAGGUUUACUUGUUUAUUUUUUGGUUCUUACAUGUCUCCAACUCCAUGUGGAUUUACAUCCUACUGGGUGAGGUUUUGUUUUUCCUUGUGUCUAUAGGUGAGAAGAUGUGAACAUACAGUUAAUUGAAACUAAGUCUAGAAUCAUGAAGCCAGAAGGAGAAAUGUAUUAGAAUUAGAAAUGACAUCACAGGCCGGGCGCAGUGGCUCAUGACUGUAAUCCCAGCACUUUGGGAGGCUGAGGAGGGCGGAUCACGAGGUCAAGUUCAAGACCAGCCUGGCCAACAUGUUUCAGAAGCUAUCUCCUGAGCAGUGUGUAAUUCUCUCCUGGCUGUUUGAUGGUAAUGGGAGCUGUACAUGUAUCUGGAGAGAGGAGAACCAGCCUGGGGGUAAGAAAGUAGCUAUUUAUCAAGGUAUCUUACAAUCUCAGUUUAUGUUGUUGUAAAAUGUUAUUGUGCACGUUCCCUGAGAUUAUAUCCGCUAGACAUUUGUCAGCCAUUGUCAACAUACUGUAAGGAAUAAGCAUGUGUAUUAUUCCAGUCAACUUAAUUUUAUUCUGCAUUUCUUUGCCCUCAUUUUCAAAGAGACUGACUACUGGGGACCCUUGCUUAAUGGUGCCAUCUGCUAGGUUAUGAAUUGUACAGAACGAAUGUUGGAAAUGUUCUAGAACACUCACAGCACCCUGGCAGGUAGAUGGCAAGGCAUCCUGAUGCACGGCUCCUGCCAUCAUGGAAAUUCUCCCUCCGUUAUUACAGCAAAUGAUACUGUUGACAGCCAAUAAAGUUACAGAAUGACUGCCUAGAAUACAAUGAUAAAGUAGGAACGAGAUAAAAUAGAAUCGUACCAGAAGCCUUUCCCACUAGAAUGUCAAAUUGCCCUUUUUUAAAAAUGUAUCAUAAAGUAACCUUGAAAAUCAUUAGUUCUUUAGAUAGCCCCGGUCUUUGGUAAAAUUAUGAAAUUCUAUUGCUGUCAUUGUCUUUGUAUUUUGUUGUUGUUGUGGCUGUUGUUUGGUUUUAGUGCCCCUAAAAUUCCAGAGCUUCUCAUCCUCACAUCUAUGUGACACUUCUGUCACUUCCAUGGACACAUUCCCUCAUUUCUUUUCUGUCCUUAAGCUUUCUUACCAAUUGAAACUGGUCUCAAGAUAAGUUGAAGACUCUUUCCCGCUACAGGGAAUAUGACUAAUACCAAUGCUUAGUGUUAGUUUUCUGACAGUUUUUACACUUUAAAGCUAUGAGUAAAACCUUGGACUAAAUGCAGGCAUCUGAGAAAGUAAGUAACAAUGCCGUGGAAGGAAAGGCAUCACUUGUUUACACACCUGGUCACCUUCUUUAGUCCAUGGGACUCACUCAUGUUUCCAAGAGAAUAUUUCAUUUCCACACAGACAUAGACAUUUCUGACAGUUAAAUCCAAAGUAACUCAAAUGCUACAUAACAUUUUUACAUUGUUUUGUGUGUUUCUUGGGUGUGUGGCAUUUGGCAUCAAGAAGACCCGUGUUUCAAUGCAAUCUCUGCCACAUUUUGGCUGUGAAGACCAAAUGCAGGUUAUUUGACUUUUGGGAAACUCAGUCUCCUCCUCUGAGAAUUGAGGUUUGUAAUACCAACUCAUGAACUCAUUCUAAGGAUCAGAUGAGAUAAUAGAUCAGAAAGAGUAGGUGGGUCUAUAAUGUUAGUUACUUGAAGCUGGUUCCCAAAUCUCCUCCUAACCCACCUUUCUUUCUUUCUUUUUUUUUUUUUUGAAUCUAGACUCAAGAUAUAUUAAAGACUAUGCUCAUGGACAUCAAUUCUUUCCUGUCCUUUAGGGCAGUAUUCAGGCCACACGGUUCAAUAACGGGAAAGAAUGUCGUCACAUGAUUGCAUCAUGUUCUUCAAAAUGAAAUCUAUUGAACAGUAUAAACAACAAAGAACAUCAUUUGUCAGAAUGACCUGGGGGAAAUAGUCCAGUGAAACUAAGCAAAGGGAACUUUAUACCGUGAGGGAAAAUCAAUGGAUUGUAACAGAACCCUGCAAGAAGAGACAUAGCUUUCAAGUUCCAGAGACCUAGAGGUGACUGAGAAGCAGGAUGUACCAGAAACUGGGCUUCUUGUUCUACUUAUCUAGCGCCCUUUUCACAGUGUUGUAUAUGUAAAUAAAUAAUAAAGCAGUGUGAUUUUUAA
rnacentral:lncRNA from 1 species